rnacentral:lncRNA from 1 species
AUCAAAGCUUGGCUUGCCCUUUGUGCCAGCAUCUUGUAGCUGGGAUCAUUCAGGUGCACACUCUGAUACGCAUUGGGGCGAGGACAGGGGCAGCUGAUGGCAGCAAGGCAGGAGGGCACAUCGGAUCAGACCUGCUCCCAGGAAGCUCACCCAGCACGGAACACAAACGGGAGGCCCAGCAGACAGGAGGAGGAGGUCCCGGGACAGAAGAGAGAACUACUUGGAGUUUCCUACGUGGCGACGACACUUCCCAAAUGCUGACGCUCUGCCCCUCUUCGAAGGCCUGCUUUUAUUUUUCCUGUCCAGGUCAUCUGUGCAAGUCAUUAAAGUUAAAGGUUCCGACUGUGCUAUUCUAGAAAAGACAAGAACAACAGACUCCUUAAGCAGGCUAGCCCAGGCAUGUUCUCAUGGCACGGUGGAGAGACACUACAGAGGAAGUGGAAUCAUGCAGGCUAUUCAACCUUCCAAGUGUGAGAUGUUGCUAACUACCAUCCCGUUGGCCAAAGUUCUUUUCCUACCUGAGGCACCGUAGGACCCCUGGUUCAGCCUCAUAAGGAGCCAUAUACUGGAUCUCUCCAGUGUGUGGCCAGAAGCUGCUGCCCAGAGACCAGC